GUGCGACCGGCUGAGCUCUGGGGCCACGGUGGGGUGUGUCCAGCCCUGGGGUCCCCACCCCCUUGAGGUUAUGAGCGCCCAUAGGGAAGAUGUUGCCACUGUACGCAGUUGGGAGAAGAAGGACCUGGCACAUGAGGAAGCCAAGUAGUUGGAUCAGCCCUGUAAGCUCCUGGCACUGACUGCCCUGCAGGGGCGACAACCCCGUGCACCCACACUGGGGCCCUCACGAGGCUCCAAGAAAAUGGCUCAAGGGAGCAGACAGGGUGGUUUGACCCCAGAGUUAAGAACACAGGUUCAGCCAAUUUACUUGACCCUGAGCUGGUGUGACCCACUUCUUAGGGCCUCAGAUCCUCAGUUGUAAAAUGGGCAUACCGCUGGCCCUGGCCCUCACUGGGGUGGCAGGGGGCAUCCGGUGAUUCACUCCAUGACAAGAGCCUUGCUCAUAAACAGAGGCUAUUAGAGAGCCACAGACACCCUGACCCCCAGAGGCCCAGAAAGGCUGGAUUCACACUCAGAAGUGAGGCCUUCCCUGGGUGACCCACACACAGCAGGGUCUG
rnacentral:lncRNA from 1 species